UAUUUAUGCUAAAGGUUGAUGCUCAGCCAUAACUAUCUCUCUCCCUAUCAUCCCUAUCUACUUUCUUCCUAUGGAAACAUAGGAGAGAGCUAUGAAGUAAUAGAACAAGAAACAGUGCAAGGUGCCAAUGAACCUAUGUAGCUCUCUGAUAUCAGGAUGGUACACAUAAAGUUAUUUGGUAAAUAUGGGAUCCUUACAAUGACAUUUAUCAUUGAACAGGAUACCAGAUCUUCUUGUGAUAAUCAGGUGGAUGACAUUCUGGUUUUCUACUUUAAGGCUGGAAGAGGUAAAGGCACUAGAUGUCUUUCAAAAGGAAAAAAAAACAUGAGUCUGGUUGCCUAAUUUGUUGUUUAGUCGUACAGGACUUCUAUACUGGAGUUAAAUGUCUAUCUAUUGUUCCCAGAAUGCUUUUAGCUGUUAAUUAUCCUUUCCCUAUUCACCAAUAUUUUUAACAGCUAUAGCCUUGCUACACCAUGGUACUGCAUCCACGCACCCUUGUCAUGGAUGCUGGAACAUGUCUGGCUUAAUCAGGGAGAAGAUAUUCGUGACCCAAGAAAAUGGGUCCAUAUCAGAAGUGCAAGGAAGCAUUUUGAGAUGUAAUGAAAGUUGUGCUAUGAGCUGGUAUUUAAUUAUGUGAAGGUAGACCUGCUGAGGAAUUAAAACCAUUUUAGUAUCAGG